ACGCUCGACACCUACGGGAGCAGCAGUGGGGAAUAUUGCACAAUGGGGGAAACCCUGAUGCAGCGACGCCGCGUGAGCGAAGAAGUAUUUCGGUAUGUAAAGCUCUAUCAGCAGGGAAGAAGAAAGACGGUACCUGACUAAGAAGCCCCGGCUAACUACGUGCCAGCAGCAGCGGUAAUCUGAGCGGGCUGGCAAGGC
rnacentral:rRNA from 1 species